UUUCCUCCAGCACCAUAAUUCAAAAGCAUCAAUUCUUCAGCGAUCAGCCUUCUUUAUGAUGCUUUUGAAUUAUGGUGCUGGAGGAGA
rnacentral:miRNA from 1 species